CCCUUAGAUGUUCUGGGCCGCACGCGCGCUACACUGACUACUUCAACGAGUUGUUUCCUUGAUCGAAAGGUCUGGGUAAUCUUUGAAAGGUAGUCGUGAUGGGGAUAGACUUUUGCAAUUUUUGGUCUUCAACGAGGAAUUCCUAGUAAACGCAAGUCAUCAACUUGCAUUGAUUACGUCCCUGCCCUUUGUACACACCGCCCGUCGCACCUACCGAUUGAAUGGUCCGGUGAAGCCUCCGGAUUGGCGCGCACCUCGGUGCCGCCGAGAAGUUGGCUAAACCUUACCAUUUAGAGGAAGGUGAAGUCGUAACA
rnacentral:rRNA from 1 species